CAGUAGCCGCGGGAAUACAGAGGGUGCGAGCGUUAAUCGGAUUUACUGGGCGUAAAGCGUGCGUAGGCGGCUUUUUAAGUCGGAUGUGAAAUCCCUGAGCUUAACUUAGGAAUUGCAUUCGAUACUGGGAAGCUAGAGUAUGGGAGAGGAUGGUAGAAUUCCAGGUGUAGCGGUGAAAUGCGUAGAGAUCUGGAGGAAUACCGAUGGCGAAGGCAGCCAUCUGGACUAAUACUGACGCUGAGGUACGAAAGCAUGGGGAGCAAACAGGAUUAGAUACCCGCGUAGUCCCUGUCUCUUAUAC
rnacentral:rRNA from 1 species